rnacentral:rRNA from 1 species
GGACGGGUGAGUAAUGUCUGGGAAACUGCCUGAUGGAGGGGGAGUAACUACUGGAAACGGUAGCUAAUACCGCAUAACGUCGCAAGACCAAAGAGGGGGACCUUCGGGCCUCUUGCCAUCGGAUGUGCCCAGAUGGGAUUAGCUAGUAGGUGGGGUAACGGCUCACCUAGGCGACGAUCCCUAGCUGGUCUGAGAGGAUGACCAGCCACACUGGAACUGAGACACGGUCCAGACUCCUACGGGAGGCAGCAUG